UACGUAGGGUGCAGGCGUUGUCCGGAAUUAUUGGGCGUAAAGAGCUCGUAGGCGGUCUGUCGCGUCGGCUGUGAAAUCCCGAGGCUCAACCUCGGGUCUGCAGUCGAUACGGGCAAACUAGAGUAUUGCAGGGGAGACUGGAAUUCCUGGUGUAGCGGUGAAAUGCGCAGAUAUCAGGAGGAACACCGGUGGCGAAGGCGGGUCUCUGGGCAAUAACUGACGCUGAGGAGCGAAAGCGUGGGGAGCGAACAGG
rnacentral:rRNA from 1 species